rnacentral:rRNA from 1 species
AAUAGAUACCCGGGUAGUCCACGCCGUAAACGAUGGAUACUAGCUGUUUGAGCGCAAGUUUGAGUGGCUAAGCGAAAGUGAUAAGUAUCCCACCUGGGGAGUACGGGCGCAAGCCUGAAACUCAAAGGAAUUGACGGGGGCCCGCACAAGCGGUGGAGCAUGUGGUUUAAUUCGAUGAUACGCGAGGAACCUUACCAGGGCUUAAAUGUAGAUUGACGUAUUUGGAAACAGAUAUUUCUUCGGACAAUUUACAAGGUGCUGCAUGGUUGUCGUCAGCUCGUGCCGUGAGGUGUCAGGUUAAGUCCUAUAACGAGCGCAACCCUGUUGUUAGUUGCCAGCGAGUAAUGUCGGGAACUCUAGCAAGACUGCCAGUGUAAACUGUGAGGAAGGUGGGGAUGACGUCAAAUCAUCACGGCCCUUACGUCCUGGGCCACACACGUGCUACAAUGGCCGGUACAGAGAGCAGCCACUUAGCGAUAAGGAGCGAAUCUAUAAAGCCGGUCACAGUUCGGAUCGGAGU